rnacentral:rRNA from 1 species
UAAAAGCUUGGUCCUGGCUUUUCUGUCAUCUCCGGCUAAAUUUACACAUGCAAGUAUCCGCACCCCCGUGAGAAUGCCCCACAGUCUCCCUCCCCGGGGACAAGGAGCUGGUAUCAGGCACAUUAAUAUGCCCGCCCACGACACCUUGCUCAGCCACACCCUCAAGGGAAUUCAGCAGUGAUAAACAUUAAGCCAUAAGUGAAAACUUGACUUAGUUACAGCCCCCAGGGCCGGUAAAACUCGUGCCAGCCACCGCGGUUAUACGAGAGGCCCAAGCUGACAGCCCCCGGCGUAAAGAGUGGUUAAGUUAACCCUAAUGUGACUAAAGUCGAACGCCCCCAAGACCGUUAUACGUGCUCGGAGGUAUGAAGCCCAACUACGAAAGUGGCUUUAAAAUACCUGACCCCACGAAAGCUGUGAAACA